rnacentral:rRNA from 1 species
GACGAACGCUGGCGGCGUGCUUAACACAUGCAAGUCGAACGGAAAGGCCCUGCUUUUGUGGGGUGCUCGAGUGGCGAACGGGUGAGUAACACGUGAGUAACCUGCCCUUGACUUUGGGAUAACUUCAGGAAACUGGGGCUAAUACCGGAUAGGAGCUCCUGCUGCAUGGUGGGGGUUGGAAAGUUUCGGCGGUUGGGGAUGGACUCGCGGCUUAUCAGCUUGUUGGUGGGGUAGUGGUUUACCAAGGCUUUGACGGGUAGCCGGCCUGAGAGGGUGACCGGCGACAUGGGGCCUAAGGUACGGCCCAGACUCCAACGGGAGGCAGCGGGGGGGAGUAUUGCACAAUGGGGGGAAGCCUGAGGCAGCAGCGCCGCGUGCGGGAUGACGGCCUUCGGGUUGUAAACCGCUUUCGCCUGUGACGAAGCGUGAGUGACGGUAAUGGGUAAAGAAGCACCGGCUAACUACGUG